rnacentral:lncRNA from 1 species
GGGGCUUAUUGAUAAGAAGAUGUGGAGAAGCAGCUAUAGCUCUGGCACAUUUAGCCUUUAAAUACCAGAACUUUGUGAGGACUUACCCAAGAGUGUUGAUCUGGGAAGGCAACUCUUUGCUAAUAGCUCUCUGAAGACCUGGGGGCAUUAGCUCCUGCCAGGGUAAGGUGACUCUUUACCAGCAGUGGUGAAAACCAUGCAGUGGCCUAUGAAGGAGAUUAUCUUGCCCACCAACACCAGUGCCUUCCUUCCCUGGCAAGGUGCUCUAGCAACAGGAGACUUUCACUUUGUUCCAGCAUCUGCAAGUCAGCUCUUGGUUGGCUAAGACAACUCUCCCAAGAACCAAUUCAUGGAAAGAGUCAUGAGUUGAAUGAUCCAGAUUGGAAUGGUGGCUCUGCAUAGUUGAGGCUGGGUCACAGUUGUGUCUACUUUACAGAACAAAGUGGAAGAAGAGGAACUCCAGGGUGUGUCUUCACUGCGGAGCUGCGCCAACACCUUUCUGCUUUACAACAUCCUUUGCUUACACAAGCCAUCAGGGCGUUCCUGCCAUUCCACCUACCUACCUGGAAACCCAGGUUCCUGUUUCUAAGGAUGAGAUCAGGAAGACAACAGAUUUCUGACUUCUUUUGGAGAAUUAAAAAAUCUGGGACUAGAAGGCUAUUUCCACUUAGCAACUUUCAGAUGGAUCUGACACAGGUGAGCUACCCCUUUUGAUGGGCAUGCAUUCCCCUGGGUCAACUCAGGUGAUUCCUCAUUUCUGUUCCUUGGCUGGACUCUGAAGGCACUGGUUUUGU